rnacentral:lncRNA from 1 species
CCAUCAUUUAUCAAACCCUGUGAAUCAUAUUCCCUAGUAAUCUUUUCAUACAUAAUCAUAAGGUUUAACCAUAAUCAUAAAGAUAACUUAUUCUACAAUCCUCAUGGAUCUAGAUCUCAAUGUCCUUAGUGUGUGCCCAAAUACACUCAUCCCAUAUCUGAUUCUACGUAUUAUAAUUUAUCUACUUAUACUCUAAUAUCAUAUUAAUUAUUAUACCCCUAACCA